UAUGACCGCUGGCGGCAGGCCUAACACAUGCAAGUCGAGCGGUAGAGAAGAGCUUGCUUCUUCUUGAGAGCGGCGGACGGGUGAGUAAUGCCUAGGAAUCUGCCUGGUAGUGGGGGACAACGUUUCGAAAGGAACGCUAAUACCGCAUACGUCCUACGGGAGAAAGUGGGGGAUCUUCGGACCUCACGCUAUCAGAUGAGCCUAGGUCGGAUUAGCUUGUAGGUGAGGUAAUGGCUCACCUAGGCAACGAUCCGUAACUGGUCUGAGAGGAUGAUCAGUCACACUGGAACUGAGACACGGUCCAGACUCCUACGGGAGGCAGCAGUGGGGAAUAUUGGACAAUGGGCGAAAGCCUGAUCCAGCCAUGCCGCGUGUGUGAAGAAGGUCUUCGGAUUGUAAAGCACUUUAAGUUGGGAGGAAGGGUUGUAGCUUAAUACGCUGCAACUUUGACGUUACCAACAGAAUAAGCACCGGCUAACUCUGUGCCAGCAGCCGCGGUAAUACAGAGGGUGCAAGCGUUAAUCGGAAUUACUGGGCGUAAAGCGCGCGUAGGCGGCUUGAUAAGAUGGGUGUGAAAUCCCCGGGCUUAACCUGGGAACUGCAUCCAUAACUGUCUGGCUAGAGUACAGUAGAGGGUGGUGGAAUUUCCUGUGUAGCGGUGAAAUGCGUAGAUAUAGGAAGGAACACCAGUGGCGAAGGCGACCACCUGGACUGAUACUGACGCUGAGGUGCGAAAGCGUGGGGAGCAAACAGGAUAAGAUACCCUGGUAGUCCACGCCGUAAACGAUGUCAACUAGCCGUUGGAAUCCUUGAGAUUUUAGUGGCGCAGCUAACGCACUAAGUUGACCGCCUGGGGAGUACGGUCGCAAGAUUAAAACUCAAAUGAAUUGACGGGGGCCCGCACAAGCGGUGGAGCAUGUGGUUUAAUUCGAAGCAACGCGAAGAACCUUACCUGGCCUUGACAUGCAGAGAACUUUCCAGAGAUGGAUUGGUGCUUCGGGAGCUCUGACACAGGUGCUGCAGGCUGUCGUCAGCUCGUGUCGUGAGAUG
rnacentral:rRNA from 2 species